GUACUGUGGAGCCCAGAACUGGACACAAUACUUCGGCUGAUCUGGCUGGCUAGGCGGGUGUCCCCUUCCUCCCUCACCGCUCCAUGUGCGUCCCUCCCGAAGCUGCGCGCUCGGUCGAAGAGGACGACCUUCCCCGAUAGAGACGUACCGUUCAUCGGUCAAGGGUAUACGGUAGCUGCGCUCCCCUGCUAGAACCUCCAAACAAGCUCAAGGUCUAUGAUUCUUGGCCACGAGGGCACACUGCUGCCUCAUGGUCAACUUGUCAUCCACCAUGACACCCAGGU
rnacentral:snRNA from 1 species